AGUAACAUUUUGAGGCUUUCUAACCAGUUUUCUUUCACAAAAGUUUAACAACUUGUCUCCAUGUAGAACAGUGUUACAUCUUGUAUUGCAACCAAAAUAAAUGGUGCAUGAGAAUUGGAUUGAUUUCUAACUGCAGGCAGUAGCUCUAAGCUCUUUUUUUGUUCAUGGCCACACAAUCGUUAUUUCACUGAAUGCACUCAAUGCAUCUGGCUCUUGUUUUGUUGGCCAUAUGUUUAAUACCACAGACUAGCUUUUCAUACGAGCUUCAAGAUACAAUUCACACUUUGAGAGAGGAGAACAUGUACCUAUAUCACAGAGUGAGAAACCUUACGCAGACUCUGCGAGAGCUGAGAAAACUUCUGGAUCACUCACAUGAGUCUGCUGUGGAUCAUGAAAGUGACAAAUUGCAUGCCUGAAAUGAAUGGAUUAAGAAUGGUAUCAGCACAGAGAUUCAUCUCAUGUUAGAACAAGCUUUCUGUUCUUCAUGCCAAGGCUGAUUUAUAUUUCCUAGGAGAAAUUCUUCUUGUUCUGUCAAGUUUCACUUGGAUUGGGAUUCUUUCCAUGUAAAUAUGGUCAUAAUAUCCUAACCUAACCUUCUUUUUUAACCUUUUUGUUGACUCAUAUUAAUCAGAGAGGCUCAUGCUAAUGGAUUGCUAAUAUUAGUUAACUACAAUAGUUAAACAAGCAGCACUUCUAAAAUUUCUACAGCAUUAUAUGAAUCUGUUUAAAUUUUGACAUCUGCUAAUCAAAUUUUUUUAAAUGAUAAGUUCUAUUUGCUAACGUGAAUUAAUGCAAAUAAAGAACAAAUGUAUUUUAUUAAAAGUACUCAUAUUGUAGGGUAAAACAAAUUAUCAAAGACUUCUGUUUUCCUGAUAUCAUGCUGAUAUUGAUCAAGGCCUGUAGGCCAACAUGUGUAUACAGUGGGUGAAGCUGUAGUCUGCUGAUUGGUCAGUUUUAAUGUCUCACAUUUGGGUUUCAGUCACAUGGUCAAGGAAGGGAUAAAAGAAGACUGUAAAUUUUGCUCUGUCUCUUUCUCUCUGCAGGCUUUUCUUUGUUGGCUCUUUCCUUUGCUGGAGCUCUCUUCUCGGGGCCUUGCCCUCUCCCCCUUUUUCUCCCUCUCUCUAUCUCCCCCUUUCUUUUCCCAUCUCAGGUAAUAUUUUACAUGGUGGGGACAAUUAACUAUAUGUUUUACCA